UUGGGUUUGCAGAGGCCUGUAGGAACUCGAAUACUAGAUGAGCUGAGAGAUGUGUAUUCUUUCUGUUGAAUAUUUCUUUUUGUGUGAGGAGACAUGGUUUUGGAUUUUCUUUCUUUCUUUCUUUUUUUAGAUGUUCUUCAUGAUGAAAUUGUAAAUGAAAAUUUGGUUAGAAAUGAGGACUGCUCUUUCAGAGCAGUGCGUGGAACCCUCUGGAAGCUGAAGGCGUUUGGGGUGAAAGCCUCUGGGCCGUGGCAGGCAGCUGUGUGCAUUCAGACAUGAGGCUGGGAGACUCACACCUCAGUGAGACCUAGCUUCUGCUUCUUCUCCCUCGUCUCUGGACUCAGCCUGGGAAGAAUGUGCGCUAGUUCAGAGGAAGAACGUGCUCUUCUUCGCUGUCCCUGCAUCGCUUUGUGCUCAGGUGGAGGAGAGAAAGAUCUAAGUGUCAAACUGUUAUUCUCAGGAGGAGCUGAAAGGAUUCUUUUCAAGAGUCUCUCACUGAACCCGGACUCACAGACUCAGCUCCACUGGCCACCGAGCCCCAGGGAUCCUUUGGUCUCCAGCUCCCCAGCACUGAGAUUGCGGGCACACACAGCCACGGCUAGCUUUAUCAUGUGGGUGCUGGGGUUCGAACUCAUGCUCCUGCAGCAAGCACUUUACCAACUAAGCCAUCUCCCUGCCCCAGAAAGCAGCUUUGAAAGCGAAAUUUUUUCUUUCUGAUUCCACAGCUACAGUCGGAUCAACUGACAAUCCCUCCUUUCUGUGUAUCUAUGCACACACUUUUAUACACAUGGAUUAUACUAUUUAAAAAUAUAAUGAGGAAACUCCCUUCUCAUUUUGUUUCAAUAAAUAUCUCACUCGA